AGAUAAUCCUGAUAUUCUACCGGCGGGACGUCAAUAGGAUUUUCUUCGAUAUCAGCUUUGAGUUUUGUUGCUUUCGAGUCAGGCUUAUAGCUUGAUAGCAGGUCAUUUUGUUGGACCUUCAGAACCUGCUCUUUGGUUGUACUUUGUACUUUUCCUUUAUGUCUAGUUAGUGCUCCAAAACUCUGAACUUAUAUGAACUCUUGUAUUAAGACAAUUCAAUUAUAUUAUGAAGUUGAUUUUGUUA